rnacentral:rRNA from 1 species
AACGAACGCUGGCGGCAUGCCUAACACAUGCAAGUCGAACGAAACGUUCGGGCUUAGUGGCGCACGGGUGCGUAACGCGUGGGAACCUGCACUUAGGUUCGGAAUAACUCCCCGAAAGGGGUGCUAAUACCGCAUAAUGUCUUAGGACCAAAGAUUUAUUGCGUUUGGAUGGGCCCGGGUGGGAUUAGCUAAUUGGUAGGGUAAAAGCCUACCAAGGCGACGAUCCAUAGCCGGUCUGAGAGGAUGAUCAUCCACACUGGAACUGAGACACGGCCCAGACUGGUACGCAACGGAGCAGAGUGUAAUAUAAGAGGCUGGGCGAAGGCCUGAUACAGCAAUGCGGCGUAAGAGAUGAAGGCGUUAGGAUUGUAAAGCUCUUUUACCCGAGAUGAUAAUGACAGUACCGGGUAAAUAAGCUCCGGCUAACUCCGUG